ACCGACUUUCUUCUUUGUGACAUUCUCAUUUGGGAGCCGUGUCCCAAAAAGAGGGUGGAUAAUGGUCAAGAGGGUAGAGAAAGAUGCAGAUUAAAGUGUAACUAAGUGGAGAGGAUGUUUUUUUGAAGAGUUUCUCACGGAUUUGAGGAUUAGAAUUUUGAAUUUGGGGAAAACUAGAAAAUGAGCCAUGAGAACAGUAGAUUUAGGGAGAGUAGAUCUCGAUUUUGAGAGUUUUUAGGAUUUUUGGAAGAUCUAGGUUGAGAUUUCUAGAUUGGGACGGGAGAAUGAAGAAGGGUCUUUAAAUUUGAGACAUUUCAAAACCC
rnacentral:lncRNA from 1 species